rnacentral:sRNA from 1 species
UUUGCUUUGUUCCUUGUUUGAG